GUCUACUGACAUACCACCCUAAACACUCCUGAUCUCAUCUGUUCUCAGAAGCUAAGCAGCAUUGUUUAUGGCUCGAACUUGGAUGGGAUGCAUUUUUGACUUGAUAAGAGUCAGCAUUCUCAGUGCAGUGGAUU
rnacentral:rRNA from 1 species